AUUGAACGCUGGCGGCAUGCUUUACACAUGCAAGUCGAACGGUAACAGGUUAAGCUGACGAGUGGCGAACGGGUGAGUAAUGCAUCGGAACGUGCCCGGUCGUGGGGGAUAACGCAGCGAAAGCUGCGCUAAUACCGCAUACGAUCUGAGGAUGAAAGCGGGGGACCGUAAGGCCUCGUUCGAUCGGAGCGGCCGAUGUCAGAUUAGGUAGUUGGUGGGGUAAAGGCUCACCAAGCCAACGAUCUGUAGCUGGUCGGAGAGGGCGACCAGCCACACUGGGACUGAGACACGGCCCAGACUCCUACGGGAGGCAGCAGUGGGGAAUUUUGGACAAUGGGCGAAAGCCUGAUCCAGCAAUGCCGCGUGCAGGAAGAAGGCCUUCGGGUUGUAAACUGCUUUUGUACGGAGCGAAAAGGUCUCCUCUAAUACAGGGGGCUCAUGACGGUACCGUAAGAAUAAGCACCGGCUAACUACGUGCCAGCCGCCGCCGUAA
rnacentral:rRNA from 1 species